GACAGAUCCCAGACCCAGGCGCUACUGUUGGGCAGAUUGAGUUUCUGAGGCAAAAAAGCCCGCGUCCUUCCGCCCCCUUUCCCUCCUUUCUCCACUGACGCCUCCCCCCCCCCAAAAAAAGCCACAGCCUGGCUUGACAAGGGAGGGAAGCGCUUUGCCCCGAGUCUCCCAGCCCCAUUUCUCCCGUUCGAGCGGGAAACAUUGAGGGCGGCUUCCCUGCUGGGUUUCAAGACGCCCUCCACGCCGCCCUUCCUUCUUCCCGCCCUCCCCUUCUCGCCUCUUCUCAGCCUCUCUCCCCCCUCAAAGAUCCUCACCAGGAAAACGCCGGACGGAAAGGCGCUCUUCAGAUAACCCGAGCGGGCGGAGCUCCUUUUGGCAGGCCCGGAGGCGACGGCGUCCAACAAAGGGGGCUCUUGAUUCCUCUUCCCCUCCGGUCCGCCCGCCCUCCCUUCCCUCGAACCCAUGCAGGCGGGAAAGGCCGAAAGCGCCGACCCUGGAACUGCUGGCAGGAAGGGAAUGAGGUGUAUAGAAAGAGGCCAUUUGGGAUUUCCCGCUGGGUACUGAGUGGCCGAGACACACCCCAGGGAUGAUGGAAGUGAGGGUGUCUUGGAUCUCGGUUGUUCCAGGAGUUAAGCCAGGGAGUAAUCGAGGCCGAGGACGGAGUCUACAGCACGAUCCACCAACCUAUGAAACGCGAGGCUUUUGGGGAUGAAAUCGCCGUGCAACCCAAAUCCUCCGUUUGCUCCAUCGCUCUGACUUCUUGGAAGCUUGCUCUCAAGCACAAUCACUGCGACCGAACCAACCACCCAAAGAUCUCCAUACAGUUCAGCAUUUAAAAAUGCUAAUUCGUCAGUAUGUUCUGUUU